rnacentral:rRNA from 1 species
CGGCGGACGGGUGAGUAACACGUAGGUAACCUACCUAUAAGACUGGGAUAACUUCGGGAAACCGGAGCUAAUACCGGAUAAUAUUUCGAACCGCAUGGUUCGAUAGUGAAAGAUGGCUUUGCUAUCACUUAUAGAUGGACCUGCGCCGUAUUAGCUAGUUGGUAAGGUAACGGCUUACCAAGGCAACGAUACGUAGCCGACCUGAGAGGGUGAUCGGCCACACUGGAACUGAGACAUGGUCCAG